UUAGCCUCACGUUUUUCAAAUAAAAUGAGGCUUAGGUGACUACUGAAGCUUGACGCCUAGAAAAACAUCCUCCAGGCCUGCGAUCGCCAACACGAGGUCCACUAGCGGCAUCCCAGCAGGCACCGCGCCUGCGUGCGUCGCCCACGCAAGCUUCUUAAAGCCGGAUCAGCUGAAGUCGGUUCAGGCCUUGGCGUCUCAGAGAGCAGGCGCCCUCUCAGCUCUUCCUCUGGAGAUUCCGCAUUUAGGUUGAUCCUUCCCACUCCUUUACAGUUUCCCAGAUCUUGAGACUCAAGUCUUUGAAUAACAAGGGAAAGGAACCAACCGGAAAGAUCAUUUUUAACAUGAGAGGAGCUAUGGAAGUUCUAAAGAGGGUUCUAAGGAGUUUUCUUUGAGGUAAGUAGAAAGGGAGAUUGAUGCAGAAGAGAUGUGAAGCCCAAGGCAGGGUUUCUCAACCUCAGCACUAUUGACAUUUAGGGCCAGAAUGUUCUUCAUUGCAGAGGCUGGCCUCUGUGCUGUAAGAUGUUGAGCAGCAUCCCUGGCCUCUACUUUCUAAGAUCCCUGUCACUCACACACACACACACACACACACACACACACACACACACACACACACACACAUCUGGCCUCUACUUACUGGAUCCCUGUGAGACACACACACACACACACACACACACACACACACCUGGCCUCUACUUACUGGAUCCCCGUGAGACACACACACACACACACACACGUGCGC
ensembl:lncRNA